rnacentral:sRNA from 12 species
GCUUUCAACAUCCCCGUUCCAGAUCGAGCGGAGUACGCGCUGAGCGCGCCGUCCUCGUAUUUGGAGCUGAAGGC